UUCCAGGAUGCAUUCAUAAUCAAAAUGUGUGUUUAAGCCUCUCACACGUGCUUUUUGCGGCGUGGUUUUCAAGCACAGAGUCGGGACGAUUUUCAUCAUGUAACAUAAUUCACAUUUCCAAGUGUCUAGUUUAAGAAAAACUAAAUAGACGGAGUGGUUUCUACCAGUCGGUUCCCCAGGAAAGAACCAACAGCUAGUUAGCUACCUAACCGGUAACGUUAGUGAGCCGGUUGUUAGCUAACUGUUAGCUAACAACUAGUCAGGCACUCCGGGUUGGAAAGCUAAAUGAGCUAUCUACCUGCAACAGAUCCAGACUAGCCCCACCUGAAGUCUCCAUUUUCAGUGCUACUACAGUCAACAGAAGGGAAUUUUGUUCACCUCAUGUCCACUGGGGGGCAGUAUAACCCUGGCAGUAAGCUACUGGACAACCAACAAGCACUCCCCCUGGAUGUCCUCAAGUUUAGUGUUGCCCUCUGAGGGACGAAAUGGAAGGGAAAGUCACCCACACCAAUUGUCCCGACAACCUGCGUGCCCCGGCUCAUGGCUGCCCUCCAAGCGCAGACAAAGCUGUCGUCGAAUGAACCAGGCGUGUGUCCACUGGACCUGAGGGGUGCCGCCACCAACUAACAAAACACACAAAGACCCUCGCCCCUAGCACUGGCCCUCACCCCAUCGUCUACCCGCUAUCCUGCCCCUCCCCGCACGCCGCUGCCUGCUGCUUUGUGCCUGCUCCAAGAAGAGGAAGUUCCUCUCAUCUCUUUCUCAAGGUCUGCCUUCUCUGCCAGAGAGCAAAGGGCCUACGGCAUCAUUUCCUUCAGGCUGAUGACGUCUGUGGAAAAACAGAACAACAGGAGAAGAAAAGUCGCCGGUUGACGGCAGCUGAUGCUGUGUCAAACCCCGGAGA